rnacentral:rRNA from 1 species
GAUGAACGCUGGCGGCGUGCCUAAUACAUGCAAGUCGAGCGAACAGAUGAGGAGCUUGCUCCUCUGACGUUAGCGGCGGACGGGUGAGUAACACGUGGAUAACCUACCUAUAAGACUGGGAUAACUUCGGGAAACCGGAGCUAAUACCGGGUAAUAUAUUGAACCGCAUGGUUCAAUAGUGAAAGACGGUUUUGCUGUCACUUAUAGAUGGAUCCGCGCCGCAUUGGCUAGUUGGUAAGGUAACGGCUUACCAAGGCAACGAUGCGUAGCCGACCUGAGAGGGUGAUCGGCCACACUGGAACUGAGACACGGUCCAGACUCCUACGGGAGGCAGCAGUAGGGAAUCUUCCGCAAUGGGCGAAAGCCUGACGGAGCAACGCCGCGUGAGUGAUGAAGGUCUUCGGAUCGUAAAACUCUGUUAUUAGGGAAGAACAAAUGUGUAAGUAACUAUGCACGUCUUGACGGUACCUAAUCAGAAAGCCACGGCUAACUACGUG